rnacentral:misc_RNA from 1 species
GAUGAAGAACGCAGCGAAAUGCGAUACGUAAUGUGAAUUGCAGAAUUCAGUGAAUCAUCGAAUCUUUGAACGCAUAUUGCGCUCUCUGGUAUUCCGGAGAGUAUGCUUGUUUGAGUAUCAGUAAACACCUCAACUUCCAUAUCUUUUUUGAAAUGGGAGUUGGACUUGAGUGAUCCCAACGCUUUUCCUCACCGAAAAGUGGCGGGUUACUUGAAAUGCAGGUGCAGCUGGACUUUUCUCUGAGCUAUAAGCAUAUCUAUUUAGUCUGCCUAAAAAACAGAUUAUUACCUUUGCUGCAGCUAACAUAAAGGAGAUUAGUUCUUGUGCUGACUGAUGCAGGAUUCACAAAGACAGGCUUCGGCCGACUUUGUAAACUCGAUCUCAAAUCAAGUAAGACUACCCGCUGAACUUAAGCAUAUCAAUAAGCGGAGGA